GCCAGCAGCCGCGGUAAUUCCAGCUCCAAUAGCGUAUAUUAAAGUUGUUGCAGUUAAAAAGCUCGUAGUUGAACCUUGGGCCUGGCUGGCCGGUCUGCCUCACCGCAUGUACUGGUUCGGCCGGGUCUUUCCUCCUGGGGAUCCGCAUGCCCUUCACUGGGUGUGUUGGGGAACCAGGACUUUUACUUUGAAAAAAUUAGAGUGUUCAAAGCAGGCCUUUGCUCGAAUACAUUAGCAUGGAAUAAUAGAAUAGGACGUGCGGUCCUAUUUUGUUGGUUUCUAGGACCGCCGUAAUGAUUAAUAGGGAUAGUCGGGGGCAUCAGUAUUCAGUUGUCAGAGGUGAAAUUCUUGGAUUUACUGAAGACUAACUACUGCGAAAGCAUUUGCCAAGGAUGUUUUCAUUAAUCAGUGAACGAAAGUUAGGGGAUCGAAGACGAUCAGAUACCGUCGUAGUCUUAACCGUAAACUAUGCCGACUAGGGAUCGGGCGAUGUUAUUCUUUUGACUCGCUCGGCACCUUACGAGAAAUCAAA
rnacentral:rRNA from 1 species